rnacentral:misc_RNA from 1 species
AAUCAUCAAAAACCUUUUCUUUCGACCCUCCUUUUUGGUCGGGAAAAGGAUUUUUGGACUUGGAGGUUCCAUGCUUGCUUUCGCUUUUGAAAGCGAGCUCCUCUUGAAUGAAUUAGUGGGGUCCGCUUUGCCGAUCCUCGACGUGAUAAGAUGUUUCUACGUUUUGGAUCUAGCACUGUCCCUUGGACGUCUGCUCCUAACCAUGUCUCUUGGGCAAUGAGUAUGGUGUUUCGGUCACUGUCGUGGCUAAACCCACAAAAAGGAAAA